rnacentral:ncRNA from 1 species
AGCAGGGGUGCCGGAUCCUUCCGGCUGAGAGGAGAGUUCUCUCCAACCCUUUAAACCUGAUACGGGUCAUACCGGCGUAGGGAGCGA